rnacentral:tRNA from 1 species
CGGCCUGGUGGGUGGUGGCGGCCUGGGCGCCGUCGUCGUCCAGGCGAUCACCCAGUUGGACAUCGGCCGCGGCUUCGAGGGCGGCCUGGCGGU